UCAAUAUGUUUGAUUUGUCAUUUUUAGUGUCACACAAUAAGUGGAGUCUUUGUAGAUUCAAACGUACUAAAUUUUUAGCUUGCUACUACCUCUUCUUCUAUUACCUGUUCUAACGUACUAAAUUUUUAGCUUGCUACUACCUCUUCUUCUAUUACACGUUCACUUGCUAAUACAUGUUCUACUUCUGUGCUAUUUUUUUAGUGAAGAUAGAGAAUAUGCGUGCUUGUAAGUCUCCAGCUGUGCUAUCUUGUCUUGGAUCGAUCUCCCUGUUCCGGUGGAUGCCAAGCCUCCAGCUGCAGGGUAAACUAGAUCAUUACAUGUACUGAAGCCCUGCCAUGACUCCGACCAUGUCUAGCUUGCUACUACCUCUUCUUCUAUUACCUGUUCACUUGCUAAUACAUGUUCUACUUCUGUGCUAUUUUUUUAGUGAAGACAGAUAAUAUGCGUGCUUGUAAGUCUCCAACUGUGCUAUCUUGUCUUGGAUCGAUCUCCCUGUUCUGGUGAAUGCCAAGCCUCCAGCUGCAGGGUAAACUAGAUCAUUACAUGUACUGAAGCCCUGCCAUGACUCCGACCAUGUCUCCGGCAAGGCGGCGUCUACAAUACGAGAGCACCACCCUACGUGACCUCUGCAGUGAUGAAAGGCGCAAACCAAAGGCCUCCUGGAGGGCUCGCUGGAGAUUUGCUGGUACACUAGAUACAAGAAUGAUACUGGAUAUUUUUGAGAUUUGCUGGUAUGCUAGAUACAGGAAUGAUACUGGAUAUUUUUUCGUAAAAAUAGUUGCAUCCUCUUGAACAUGUAAUUUUUUAUUUUAAUUAUGAUAUGAUUAGUACCACAAUAACCUUUUAGAAGAUCUGAUUACUAGAAAUAUGGAAUUUCCUAGAAGAUAUUUCGAAAGGAGAGUUCAUGAAAACAAAAGUCAGUCCUUUUAUUUUCUGAAAAGCUCUCUUCAU
rnacentral:lncRNA from 1 species